CCACACAAUGCAUCCUAUUUGCCUGACCCCACCCAGUGCUCCCAGACUUGCCCCACGUCUCCUGGAUGAAACGGAAGGAAUGGAGAAACCCUAUUUCUCCCCAAAGCACUAGGGUGAAGGGCUCUUGUCUCUAAAAGGCUCAGUAGUCAGUUGAUCUAUGUCAGCAGAACCAGAAAUGCAUUUGUGAGAAUAGUGGAAAAAAAAUCCCUCAGAAGUGUUUGGAAUCUCUUUUUUGGUGACAAGCAGCUCUAUACAAACUUUUAAGAAUUGCAUACUGACAAAAGAGAAAUCCAAGGACUGGAGAAAGAAACAAGUUUACUAGAUACGCUUUGUAGCCCAAGUUUCCUGAGAAAGCAAGUUUUUAUCCUACAGGACCAGCUAUUAGCAAGUGAUAAGUUAAAGACAACACCAACCAAAGGUCAGGAGUAUAUUCUCCUAGAGCUAUUUCAUAUCCAAUCCAGAGAUUUACUCUUGCUCCAUUUACUCGGAGGAAUUAAGAGCAGGUGAAGGUGCUACACCCUCUGUAAGUACAGUUACCUCUUUCCCCCUUUGGAAAAUAACAGAAAAUUUGUGCCUUCUCCUGCUUCAAUAUCCCCAGAGCAUAAUUGGCAUCAGCCUGUAAACUGAAAUAGUGACUUGAGUCCACACCACAAAAUUUCUAGGGAAUCUCAGCCCGGAAACCUGCAGCAGGAAGAGGUGACAUAGCCUGCCUGAGACUGUAAUGUUAAUGUGUACCUCUCACGUGUACCUGAUGUUCACAUGGUGCCAGAACAAAAUGUAACUAGAAUGCAUGAAUGAAUAAAAUGCAUUGCAGCAAUGAAAGAAUGAAAAUG
rnacentral:lncRNA from 1 species